AUGAGAUACUCUUGUAUAGGAGGAGGAGGAGGAGAUGGAGGAGGUGGAGGAGGAGGAGAUGGAGGUGGAGGAGAUGGUGGUGGUGGAGGUGGAGGAGAUGGAGGUGGUGGAGGAGGAGGAGCACGAAAAAUUGGAGGUAGUAUAGGAGGAGGAAGAGGAGGGCUGCUUCCGCUUGCCAUCCGCAUUGCGGCGGAUCUAGAUUUGCCAGGCACCAUCUUGAUGAUCCUAUAG